GUGAUGAUGAUGUAGCGGUAGCACGUCCAACUAUUGUCAACCGUCAUGGUCCUGGUUCAAUUCCAGGUUGUCGCC